UCUCAACGAGAUAUGUUGGCUGAUUUAGAUGAAAGAAAUGAAGAGAGGAUUCAAAGUGAUGCCAAGAUGUUAAGUUGGGUGACUAGAGUAAUAGUGGUGCCACUGUUGGAGAUUAUUAAGAUAGAAUUAGAAAUCAAUUUUGAAAGAAGGUAACCUGAAAGAACAUAUUGUGUUUUUUUCUCCCAUUUUUGGCUUCAAAAUAAAUAAUAAAGUACAUAAUAAAUAAAUAAUAAAGUUAAAUAACAAAGUAUACAUUGUUUGAGUGUAGGACAGAGAUUUUUCUUCUGCUUAUUGAGGGUUAGGUUCUAUUAGGAUUCAGCCGCAACAGCAAACACCUGCUCCACCUAGUUUCAGUGAAAAAUUUUUAAUAUAGGGAAUUAGCUACUAUGAAAUUAUUGGAAGUACUAGAGAAGUAGAUUGCCGAAGAAUAGCUUCUGGAAUAAGAUCCUGAAAUGACAUGCCAGGGGGCCCACUAUUUAGGCCACAAUCAUGGAUAUUGAGAAUCAAGAGGAAAUCUUAGGAACAAUGUUGAGAAAUCCACUGCCAUAGCUGUGGUCCAGUAGUCAGGAUAUUACUUUCAUCACAAAUGUGUCUCAGUACUCAUGAGGUGCCAGUUAUCAGAACACUUCUGUAGAUAGAGCUCACAUCUUUAUAACCUUGUUUCUUUGGAGCAACAAGAAAGUAUCAGCAAAAAUUUUUGCCUAAAUAUAAAUAAUGAGGGGAUAAUUAAAUCAAUAUAUUUAAUUAUCAUAAUUACAUUUUCAAAUAAUGCUUAAUAACUUGGGAAAUUUUUCAUUAAAUAAUGUUAUGUGAGAAACCUAUCUAAUAAAAUUGAAUUAUAAACCAAAGUGUGAAUAGAGUAAAAGUCAUAAUUUUAAAAAAUUAAGAGAUGUACAGAAAGAUUUAUUUACAAGGAUGCUCAUUAUCAUAUUAUAUCAAUGAAAAAAUUAGAAAGGUUCAAAAUUGGGAAAUAUUAAAUAAAUGAUCCUUACAUUUGAUGAAAUUCCAUAUAAUUGUUAAGAAAUAAUAUUGUAGGCAUAUAGUAAAGACAUAAAAAUGCUCACAAAAUAAUAAGGAGCAAGGCAGAGAAAUACAUUACAAUGACAACAAAUAUACAGAAACACAGCAUUAUGUACAGAGAUACAGAAAAAGACUGGAUGGAAAUAUAGCAAAAUAUGAACAUAAUAAUCUGUGGUUUGUAGGAUUUGGGGUUUUUGUUUUUCUAUGCUUUCUGUAAGGACCAAAUUGUACAUGUAUUUAAUGGGGUGAGGGAGAAUCUAAGUUUUUAUCCUAGGGUUCUUUAUUAAUCACAUUGAAGUAGGGGAAAUAAAAACUGGAAAAAAGCCCUUUUGGAAGGGUACAUGUCAGGGUAUGAAAGCUUCUCCUGCUAGCCCAGACCUGCGAACAUGGAAAAGACUUCUAGGCUGGUCAACUCAGUGGGUAUCCAAAGUAAAGCUGUAAGAUAAUGAAAAAGAUGAAAGUCAUAAUUUUUUUAAUAACAGUUUUUGAAGGACUAUGGGUUAAAGAAGGUGUUGUUUGUUUUAUUGUGCUAUAAUAAAUAAAUAAACAUAGAUAUGUAUCUGUUUAUUAUUUAUUUAUUUAUUUAUUUAUCUUUUUAGGGUUGCACACAUGGCAUAUGGAAGUUCUUGGGGCAGGGGUCAAAUCGGAGCUGCUGGCCUACACCACAACCACAGCAACGCCAGAUCCGAACAGCAUCUGUGACCUACACCACACCUCACAGCAGCACUGGAUCCUUAACCCAUUGAGUGAGCUAGGGGUCAAACCCACAUCUUUUUGAAUACUAGUUGGAUUCUUAACCUGCUGAACCACAAUGAGGACUCCCAGUUUAUUUUUUAAAUUACUUUUUUUCUGACUAUGAAACCAAACUUGUUAAUUGUAAUAUAUAUACAUAUACAAAUAUGUACAUUUAAAAUAUUUCAGUGUUCUUUUGUAGAAGUAAUAGAUUUAUUAAUGUACACUGAAGAUUAUAUCUGUAGUUCAUAAGAACUUGAGAAAAACCACUCAUUGAGCUAAUUCUCUUGUAGUGUUUAGAGAGUAGACUUUCUUAAUGACUAAUUGCAGAGGAUAGAAAAGAAUAAUUAAACCAGGCUCUCUUCCCUACAGUCAUUCUGUAUAUUUGCGUCUUUUACGUUACCAAAAAAAUCUCUAUGAGGUCAUUAUUACCAUGUUCUCCAUUUUACAGAAAAGAAAAUCGAUGCACAGAGAUUAACUCAUUUGGAUCCAAAUCAAGGAUGCUGAAUUUGAACCCAAGCAAUCUAUCACCAUUGUCUGAGCUUUUCAUCUCAUGCUGUAGGAGAUGUUACCUCCUACCCAACCACCAAUCUCCAUUUAUUUUUUCUUAUCUCUAAUAAAUAAGACACAUAGUCCCUACAGAGUAGGAUUUUUAUUAAUAUAAAAAAUACAUGAAAAAUCAGCAAAAUAACUUGAUGCACAUAUGGAUAGAGUCAUGGAAGAGUUAAGAGGAAGAUACUCUUUUCCUAGGCAGAGAGGAGCAGCAUUAGAUAAGGCUUCAUAGAGGAGGUAACGUUUGAGCUGGGUAUUGAAGGAGAGAAAAGAUGGUUAGGAAAAAAAUAAGAAGGCACCAUGGACAAAGUUAUCUAUUAACCCCUAAUGAAAUGAUCUAUGUUGUAGCUUUGUAUUGUUUGUUUUGAGACUGGUGACCAUCACAUGGUGAGUGAGCUCUCAGAUGACUCUCACAUGGAGGCAAGGCAACAGAUGACAAAAAGAUCCAAGAAUUUGUUGUAGGUGGGACAGGAUGAUCGCAUAUAUUGCCUUCUGUGGUGAAGAGGUGCUGAUAGUGAUAUCUGAGCUCUUUCUUCUCCCUGGGUCAUCUUGUUCCUAUAAGGCUAAUAGAACAUGCUGUGUCAGUUUGUGAAUUCUCUCCAAAUGUUUUGGAUUUGGAAUUUUGAACUAAAGUAAAUCCCUUCAUUUAUUCUGGGAAAAAUAUAAUUUAUUUAGUCUUUUAAAAGAAGUAAUUAGAAAACUUUGCAAAAGCAAUACCAGACAUUUAAAAAAAUACAAUUCUGAUGAACAGAGAACAAAGAAACUCAAAUGAUAUAGCAUAUAAUUUCUUAACAGAUUGAUUUAAUAUACAGAGGUAAGGCAUUUAAAACAAUUUGCUUGUGGUUUUUAUUGAAUCCAUGUUUAAAACUGAAACCUUCAUUAGAGUCAAUACUAAGGAUGGAUAUGUCUGUCCCAGAUUUUCACUGUACCCGAUGAAAAUAGGAAUUACUUUCUGCACUUACUGAUUCCCCCCUUAGAAUGUGAGGCCACAUUUACAGUAACUAGAAGACACAGAAAUAUGUUUGUUGAAUUUAUCAGGAUUUUUGAAAGGCAAAAUACUAUUUAUGGCUUCUACACUUAUACUAUGCUAUUAGCAGAAAUAUGCAAACUUGCAAAUCCCACAUCUAAACUUGAUUCUUAGCAAUUCAUAUCUUUAUAUGUUAAUAGCAUCGUAGUGCUAUGGACUUAGUUCAACAAAUCAAGUGUUUCAUUAUGGUUCACUGUUACUGUCCUUGGACAGAGUUGGCUUGCUUUAAUGAGGUUUGGGGAACAAAGUCAUCACAGCGGCCUAGAAACUGUUCUCAAAACACUGACUGAACCACUGGGAUCUUGUCUUGAGAAAGUGUUAUAAAAUUAUUAAGGUGAUUGCUGUAUGUUGUUGGGGGCUGUCAUAAAGAAUGUGGCAUUUGAGCAUGUUGGAACAAAACUGAAAGCAAAACAAAUGUCAAGGCUUCUAAAGAAGCACUGAAGCAGAAAUAUUUUUCUGGCUUGAAGUGAAAGGAUAAGAUUGGGAGAGAACUUAGUAAUAGACAAGUGGUACAGUUGUGGAAAGUUGUCUAAGAAAAUAACUCAAGAGAGAGAGAAAAAACAAUCUUCCCGUAAAUGUUUCUUUUGGCUUUACUUAUAUUAGCCAAAAUAUAAUACCUAUUAAAUCUCAGCCUGGUUCAGAACCAACUACCUGCUCUAUCUGACCUUUGUCUGGAGGUGUCCUGAACACCUAAUGUCCCAUUACACCCAACCAAUCAUGUUCAAGACUGAAUAAGCAGUAAUGAAUAUGCCCCUCAUCACUGCUUCCUAAAUUAUUCUUUAUGCAUUUCCUACUCCAGUUUAAUGGAUUCAUUGUCAGUUCUACCAGUCACUUGCAAAAUAGGUUCAGAUCUGCCUCUGUGCUGACUUUUCUUUGUGUUGCCAUCAUAUUCUAGUUUAUUGCCUCCCUACAUUUUUCUCACAUUUUAUAAUAGCCUCCUAACCUGCCUUCCCAAAUCCAGGAUGCCAUUUUUUCCCACUUCCUCUUUUCCAACCUCAAACUCAACUUCUUUUUUACAUGUUGGCACACAUCCUUAGAUCCCAUAACUACACCGAUGUUAUUCUCCCUGAAUCAUCUUGUUCCUGUAAGGCCAAUAGAACAUGCUCGUGAAUUCUCUCCAAAAGUUUUGGAUUUGGAAUUUUGAACUAAAGUAAAUCCUUUCAUUUAUUCUGGGAAAAGUAUAAAUUUCUUACUUAGUUCUAUGUGCCUGAAAAAAAUAAACUCCAAAACUCUUAGCACUGAGAUAUUGGAAUAAACAUCCUUAUGGGCCCUCACAUCCUUUAUUCCUCAUCCUAGUCCUCAUCUGCCUUUUCAGCUCUGUGUUCCAUGCAUUCAGAUCCUGUACGCACUUAAUGUGCCUAACACUCCAGCCUCACCCCCAUAACAUUUCCUUAAACAUCCGUCUUUUCCUUUAUCUUAUUUUCCAUUUCUUAAGCAACCUUGUCAACUGCUUUUUCCUAUAUGCACUGUUAUUAUGAUUAUGCAUUUUGUCCCACACUCAUUAGUUGUUCACAUGUCUCUGUCUUCUUUAGUGGCUUAUAAGUUCAUUGAAGGCAGUGAUAUUACAUUUCUCAUCUAUGACCUUAUGUCUAAUUCUUGCCCAAGUAAUAUCAUUCUUUUGCUUAUAAUAGAUCUUAAAGUAGGAGUUCCUGUCGUGGCACACGGAAAUGAAAUCCGACUAGGAACCAUGAGGUUGUGGGUUCAAUCCCUGGCCUCACUCAGUAGGUUAAGGAAUAAAGCAUUGCCAUGAGCUGAGGUGUAGACUUCAGACGAGGCUUGGAUUUGGCAUUGCUGUGGCAGUGGUGUAGGCCAGCAGCUGUAGCUCCAAUCAGACCCCUAACCUGGGAACCUUCAUAUGCCGCAGGUGUGGCCCUAAAAAG
rnacentral:lncRNA from 1 species